UGGGGAAUAUUGCGCAAUGGGCGAAAGCCUGACGCAGCCACGCCGCGUGAGUGACGAAGGCCUUCGGGUUGUAAAGCUCUGUCGCGAGGGAAGAAAUACUUGGAGUUAAUAACUUCAGGGGAUGACGGUACCUCGCAAGAAAGCACCGGCUAACUCCGUGCCAGCAGCCGCGGUAAUACGGAGGGUGCAAGCGUUGUUCGGAUUCACUGGGCGUAAAGCGUGCGUAGGCGGCCAAGUAAGUCGGAUGUGAAAGCCCAGGGCUCAACCCUGGAACUGCAUCCGAUACUGCCUGGCUUGAGUGUGGGAGAGGGAAGCGGAAUUCCUGGUGUAGCGGUGAAAUGCGUAGAUAUCAGGAGGAACACCGGUGGCGAAAGCGGCUUCCUGGCCCAAUACUGACGCUGAGGCACGAGAGCGUGGGGAGCAAACAGG
rnacentral:rRNA from 1 species